UACGUAGGUGGCAAGCGUUGUCCGGAUUUACUGGGCGUAAAGGGCGCGCAGGCGGUCGUUCAAGUCGCGUGUGAAAGCCCCCGGCUCAACUGGGGAGGGUCACGCGAUACUGAUCGACUCGAAGGCAGGAGAGGGUAGUGGAAUUCCCGGUGUAGUGGUGAAAUGCGUAGAUAUCUGGAGGAACACCGGUGGCGAAGGCGGCAUCCUGGACCGGUAUUGACGCUGAGGCGCGAAAGCUAGGGGAGCAAACGGG
rnacentral:rRNA from 1 species